rnacentral:rRNA from 1 species
UUUUAUGAGAGUUUGAUCCUGGCUCAGGACGAACGCUGGCGGCGUGCCUAAUACAUGCAAGUCGAACGCUUCUUUUUCCACCGGAGCUUGCUCCAUCGGAAAAAGAGGAGUGGCGAACGGGUGAGUAACACGUGGGUAACCUGCCCAUCAGAAGGGGAUAACACUUGGAAACAGGUGCUAAUACCGUAUAACAAUCGAAACCGCAUGGUUUUGAUUUGAAAGG